rnacentral:rRNA from 1 species
UGAGCAAUCUGCCCUUCUCAUCGGAAUAAGCGUUGGAAACGACGUCUAAUGCCGAAUACGACCUCCUUUCGCAUGAUCGGAGGUGGAAAGCUCCGGCGGAGAAGGAUGAGCUCGCGGCCUAUCAGCUAGUUGGUGUGGGUAAUGGCCCACCAAGGCGACGACGGGUAGCCCGGCCUGAGAGGGUGACCGGCCACACUGGGACUGAGACACGGCCAGACCUCCGUACGGGAGCAG